UGGACAGACCGCUGCAUCUUCCUGAGGGCUCACUGUUGACAGCAGGGCUGUCAUCCUGUGACGUCCUCAGUGAGGAUCGCGGCGCGAGCAGGACCGGUCGUCCUCUCCCCGCAUUGCGUGUGUGUAUGCGUUAUUAUUUAUUACGUGUUAUUGUAUAACGAUCCCAAAGAGUAGUGAUAAAAUAUACAUAUUCUGUUUGUGCCGUACACACCGUCUCAUGUUUAAUUUGUGCGGACACAACAAAAUACAAAGUGGUGAUAUGAAUCGGCGCGUGGCCACGGAGGUGACAAAAUGUUGAAAAAAUUUCAAGUUUGUCCAAAUUGCUUGUCAACUGCAAAAAUGAGCUUUUCUCGUGGCCGCACCAAAAAUAUACACAAAAACGACAAAAGGCUCAAACAUCUUAAUAUCAUCGAUAUGUUGUUUAAGAAGUACUAAAUAGAUGCAUACAUCAAUUAGAAACAUGCAUUUUAGCAUUAUUAUCAAAGCAAUGGGUCACAACUGCGCCAAAUAGCUCUUUGUUUACGCUUUUUCGCGAACGUCAAAUGUUGUCACUUUUUAUCAACUUUUGUCAACUUUUUUUCCUGGGCUAGGUUACGAAAUUUUGACAAAGCUUAAAAAAGUGACACAAGCUCACGUUUUGCAAAAAAAAAACUGCAUUUUGUCACUCCCGUGGCUUUGCGCCAAAUAACUUCUUGUACAGGUGUGGCUCCGUGGCCUUGCGCCAAAUGAUUCGCCUUUGGGAAGUUGCAAAAAAACGUUACAUGGGGAGCUUGAAUACCUCCCAAUAUGACGUCAUCGAUGGAAUGUGCCACUGCAGCAAAACGUCAAACCACUCCACAAAAUUCUAGCGAAGCGCGUCGAUCGAGUAAACAAACCAGAAGUUGGUGCCUGAAAUCGAGUAAACAUAUGGGUGAAAAAUUGACCAUUAAGUAAAUAAAUUGUUGCUGAAAGCAAUCUGAUAACAAUGUCCCGCUUGAAAACUGCAAGUUCACGUUACGAUGGCAACGGGUCCAACUGAUGUCAACUACCCAAUCACACCAAUUCCAUUCGACAGUUCGCGCAAAAGUGAGGCUGGCACAGUUUGACGCCAUCGAAGUAGCUCCUUUCCUGGAUGGUCCGGUUGAAGGGAAGUCCUUCCACCCCAGUCAUCUCCCUGCCGCCCGAGGAUGGCGUUGCACAAAGUAGAAAAUCCGGAGCGAAGGCAGCAAGGUAAACAAAUCUAAUGCUUAUGUGUGCGACGGUACCGCUGAAGCUAGAAAAAGGACGAUGGAAAACAACAGAAAGAGAAGGGAUCAUUCUGGCAUGCUCUUUCACCAUAUCCCGUCUGUUGGUAAGGCAGGACACACGACACUCAUCUGCACAUAAUCCGCGGACCUGCUGGGACCUUGUCGGAGCGAAUUGCGGAACAACAGAAAGGAGCUCUCUGGCCAGUUUCGGAUCAUUUCAUGAGGACACGCGCGCGCUGCACAUAGGCGAUUAUUUAUUUUCCAAAUCAGAUUUACAAUUCUACGGGAGGACAAGGUGUUUGGUGAGGACGAAAUGGAUUCGUUUGUAAUGGUUGUCAUUUAUCUGAACAUGGAACUCUUCCUAUGUACUACCAAAGAAAUAUAAUGUGUUGCCGAACUGCUAA